rnacentral:piRNA from 1 species
UGAUUCUUCUCUUUUGUUUUGGUUCC